UUUUCAUCCAAAUGUUAAUUACAAAUAAGUCGACUAUUUUGGGUUUUUUGUAUUAUUUGUAAGAUACCAUGCAUUUUUUUUUAUAUUUUUGAAGAUAAUAAUAUACGAUUAAAGGGACAUUGCUGAGUGUGUAACAGAUUAAAAGAUAAAAGAUACACAGUGAUUAGAAGAUGGCACAUAGAAAAUGGUAUGCCAAACUACAGAGACAACAGAGUCUUACACAGGCACAAUAGAAGAACAAUCACAAUGCAGGAGACAGAAAACGAAAACCGAGAGAAAACAAUGCACUUGUUACCAAGCAUUAGGCGUUGAACUAAGAGAUGACGACCAAGUAGACGAAGAUGCGGAUCCUUAUAUAGAAAUAAGAAGAUAUAAAGAAAUAUGUACUGAGGACGUCGCGAUCCUUCAUUCAGAUCGAAAGGAAGAUGGAGCACUGGCAGAAAGAUAUUUAAAUCAUUUGAAGGCAACAAUGAUUGGACUUACAGGUGAAACACAGGAAGCGAUAUUUCUCCCUGGCAUAAGUGUAUUUGACAUCAAACCGCUAUUAAAAUAUGAAUACAUAUUUGUGCUAAUCACUAGAUUUUAUGAACGUGCAAAUAUAUUAAGAUACAUAGUGCAAACUUUACUUCAUUUAUCAAUACGUUGUGAUAUGAAAAUAUGCAAACUAAUACCGGUCUUCAUGGAAAAUAUAGGACAUUCACCCAUGGAAUUCAUUCAGAUUCAACCACUGAAGUUUUACAAAACUUUAGAACAAAGUGAACACAAACAACUUGAAAUCAAUCCAUAUUAUUGCAAUGCUUUGAAAGCAAUAUUUAGAAAACGACAGUGUAUUGACUAACAAUCAUUUUUAAAACAUGAAUUAUUUAUUAAAUAUAUUAUAAACUGUU